rnacentral:ncRNA from 2 species
AAAUCGUAAAAGGGGAGCUUGUGAAAUCAGGCUGAGAGGAUAGCUAGUUUGCUGUCGACCAUUUGACCUGAUCUGGGUAAUGCCAGCGGAGGGAAUAUGUCUUAUUACAUAU